rnacentral:tRNA from 1 species
GCCUGUUUAGCUCAGAGGUCAGAGCGCCGCACUUGUAAUGCGAUGGUCACCGGUUCGACUCCGGUAGCGGGCU